rnacentral:rRNA from 1 species
AUGGCUCAGGAUGAACGCUAGCGGCAGGCUUAACACAUGCAAGUCGAGGGGCAGCGAGAGUGAUAGCAAUAUUACUUGUCGGCGACCGGCGCACGGGUGCGUAACGCGUAUGCAACCUACCAUCAACAGGGGAUAACACUGAGAAAUUGGUACUAAUACCCCAUAAUAUCUCAUGCGGCAUCGCAUGGGGUUGAAAACUCCGGUGGUUGAUGAUGGGCAUGCGUUGUAUUAGCUGGUUGGUGAGGUAACGGCUCACCAAGGCGACGAUACAUAGGGGGACUGAGAGGUUAACCCCCCACAUUGGUACUGAGACACGGACCAAACUCCUACGGGAGGCAGCAGUGAGGAAUAUUGGUCAAUGGACGCAAGUCUGAACCAGCCAUGCCGCGUGCAGGAUGACGGCUCUAUGAGUUGUAAACUGCUUUUGUACGAGGGUAAACCCCGAUACGUGUAUCGGGUUGAAAGUAUCGUACGAAUAAGGAUCGGCUAACUCCGUGCCAGCAGCCGCGGUAAUACGGAGGAUCCGAGCGUUAUCCGGAUUUAUUGGGUUUAAAGGGUGCGUAGGCGGUUUGAUAAGUUAGAGGUGAAAUGUCGGGGCUCAACCCCGAAACUGCCUCUAAUACUGUUGGACUAGAGAAUAGUUGCGGUAGGCGGAAUGUAUGGUGUAGCGGUGAAAUGCUUAGAGAUCAUACAGAACACCGAUUGCGAAGGCAGCUUACCAAACUAUAUCUGACGUUGAGGCACGAAAGCGUGGGUAGCAAACAGGAUUAGAUACCCUGGUAGUCCACGCAGUAAACGAUGAUAACUCGUUGUCGGCGAUACACAGUCGGUGACUAAGCGAAAGCGAUAAGUUAUCCACCUGGGGAGUACGUUCGCAAGAAUGAAACUCGAAGGAAUUGACGGGGGCCCGCACAAGCGGAGGAACAUGUGGUUUAAUUCGAUGAUACGCGAGGAACCUUACCCGGGCUUGAAAGUUAGCGACGACGCUUGAAAGAGCGUUUCCCUUCGGGGCGCGAAACUAGGUGCUGCAUGGUUGUCGUCAGCUCGUGCCGUGAGGUGUCGGGUUAAGUCCCAUAACGAGCGCAACCCCUACUGUUAGUUGCCAUCAGGUGAUGCUGGGCACUCUAGCGGGACUGCCGGUGUAAGCCGAGAGGAAGGUGGGGAUGACGUCAAAUCAGCACGGCCCUUACGUCCGGGGCCACACACGUGUUACAAUGGUAGGUACAGAGGGCAGCUACCCUGCGAAGGGGUGCGAAUCUCGAAAGCCUAUCUCAGUUCGGAUUGGAGGCUGAAACCCGCCUCCAUGAAGUUGGAUUCGCUAGUAAUCGCGCAUCAGCCAUGGCGCGGUGAAUACGUUCCCGGGCCUUGUACACACCGCCCGUCAAGCCAUGGGUGCUGGGGGUGCCUGAAGUUCGUGACCGCAAGGAGCGACCUAGGGCAAAACCGGUGACUGGGGCUAAGUCGUAACAAGGUAACC